GAUGAAGAACGUAGCGAAAUGCGAUACGUAAUGUGAAUUGCAGAAUUCAGUGAAUCAUCGAGUCUUUGAACGCACAUUGCGCCCCCUGGUAUUCCGGGGGGCAUGCCUGUUCGAGCGUCAUUUUACCACUCAAGCCUCGCUUGGUAUUGGGCAACGCGGUCCGCCGCGUGCCUCAAAUCGACCGGCUGGGUCUUCUGUCCCCUAAGCGUUGUGGAAACUUUCGCUAAAGGGUGUUCGGGAGGCUACGCCGUAAAACAACCCCAUUUCUAAGGUUGACCUCGGAUCAGGUAGGGAUACCCGCUGAACUUAAGCAUAUCAAUAAGCGGAGGA
rnacentral:misc_RNA from 1 species